GAUGAACGCUGGCGGCGUGCCUAAUACAUGCAAGUCGAGCGAACGGACGAGACGCUUGCUUCUCUCUUGUUAGCGGCGGACGGGUGAGUAACAUGUGGAUAAUCUACCUAUAAGACUGGGAUAACUUCGGGAAACCGUAGCUUAUACCGUAUAAUAUUUUGAUCCGCAUGGUUCAAUAGUAAAAUACGGUCUUGGUGUCACUUAUCGAUGGAUCCGCGCUGCUUUAGCUAGUUGGUAAGGUAACGGCUUACCACGGCGACGAUGCAUAGCCGAGCUGAGUGGGUGAUCGCCGACCUGAGAACGUAAACGCGGUCAAGACUACUAAGAUAGGCAGCAGUAGGGAAUCUGCCGCAAUGGGCGAAAGCAUGACAGAACAGCGCGAAGUCAGUGAUGACGAUCUUCGGAGCGUGAAACUGUGUUACUAGGGAUAAACAUAUGUGUAAGUAACUGAGCACAGCGUGACGGUAACUAAUCAGAAAGCCACGGCUAACUACGUG
rnacentral:rRNA from 1 species